rnacentral:rRNA from 1 species
AUGAACGCUGGCGGCGUGCUUAACCCAUGCCAGUCGCACGAAGCACUUUAUUUGAUUUCCUUCGGGACUGAUUAUUUUGUGACUGAGUGGCGGACGGGUGAGUAACGCGUGGGUAACCUGCCUUGUACAGGGGGAUAACAGUUGGAAACGGCUGCUAAUACCGCAUAAGCGCACAGCAUCGCAUGAUGCAGUGUGAAAAACUCCGGUGGUAUAAGAUGGACCCGCGUUGGAUUAGCUAGUUGGUGAGGUAACGGCCCACCAAGGCGACGAUCCAUAGCCGACCUGAGAGGGUGACCGGCCACAUUGGGACUGAGACACGGCCCAAACUCCUACGGGAGGCAGCAGUGGGGAAUAUUGCACAAUGGGCGAAAGCCUGAUGCAGCGACGCCGCGUGAGCGAAGAAGUAUUUCGGUAUGUAAAGCUCUAUCAGCAGGGAAGAUAAUGACGGUACCUGACUAAGAAGCACCGGCUAAAUACGUG